AGAACGAACGCUGGCGGCAUGCCUAAUACAUGCAAGUCGAACGAACACUUCGGUGUUAGUGGCGCACGGGUGCGUAACGCGUGGGAAUCUGCCCUUGGGUUCGGAAUAACAGUUGGAAACGACUGCUAAUACCGGAUGAUAUCGAAAGAUCAAAGAUUUAUCGCCAAGGGAUGAGCCCGCGUAGGAUUAGCUAGUUGGUGAGGUAAAGGCUCACCAAGGCAACGAUCCUUAGCUGGUCUGAGAGGAUGGUCAGCCCCAUGGGACUGAGACACGGCCCAGACUCCUACGGGAGCAGCAGUAGGGAAUAUUGGACAAGUGGGACGAAAGCCUGAAUCCAGCAAUGCCGCGUGAGUGAUGGAAGGCUUAGGUGUAAAGCUACUUUACCGAGUAUGAUAAUGAACUAGUAGCGGAAGAAGUAACGCCCCG
rnacentral:rRNA from 1 species